rnacentral:rRNA from 1 species
GUUUGAUUAUGGCUCAGGAUGAACGCUGGCGGCGUGCCUAAUACAUGCAAGUCGAACGAGAGUGCUUGCACUCUAGUGGCGAACGGGUGAGUAACACGUAGGUAACCUGCCUUACAGUUUGGGAUACCCUGGCGAAAGCUAGGCUAAUACCGAAUAAUUGGAUUGGAGGCAUCUCCGAUCUCUAAAAGGGGCCUUUAAAGCCUCGCUGAAUGAUGGACCUGCGGCGCAUUAGCUAGUUGGUGAGAUAACAGCCCACCAAGGCGAGGAUGCGUAGCCGACCUGAGAGGGUGAACGGCCACACUGGAACUGAGACACGGUCCAGACUCCUACGGGAGGCAGCAGUAGGGAGUUUUCGGCAAUGGGGGCAACCCUGACCGAGCAACGCCGCGUGAAUGGAUACGAAGGUCUUCGGAUUGUAAAGUUCUGUUAUAAGGGAAAAAUGAUAUGGUGAGGAAAUGCUCCAUAUUUGAUGGUACCUUAUUAGAAAGCCACGGCUAACUACGUGCCAGCCGCGGC